GGACUGACUUCACAAUGAAGUGAUGUCAGAGCAAGGACUGCUCUUUGAUUUCCUGCCAUAGAGGCCUCAGACAUUAGCUUACACCCUGGAGCAUAGGACAUAAAGGACUUUUGUCUCUUUAUUGUGAACUGCCACCAUCCCUAUCCUAGAGCCAUGGAACCUGUCGGACAUUCAUUUAUCAAUGGCAUGUGCACCAUAUGUAUGCAGUGCCUUCAGAAGUCAAAAGAAGGCAUUAGAUUCCCUAGAACUGGAGCUAUGGAUGGCUGUGAGCCACCAUGGAGGGGUUGGGCACUGAACCAGGAACUCUACAAAAGCAGCCAAUGCUCUUACCUGCUGAGCCAUCUCUGUAGCCUUAGCCCUCAGGUUCAGCUGGUUGAGACCAUCUUUGCUGUGGGCGAAAACAGCUUGCCCAUCCCCUCUCUUUGAGGAGUCAUACUGUGAGAAGCCAUUCUGGACUCCCUGGCCAGCCCGGGCCACACCCUAAGAUGGCACCUGACAGAAAUCUGUGCCAGGCAGUAAACAAGCCCAUAUUUGGUGGAUGGCUCGCCCUUAAUCCCUGAUUGGCUGAGCAAGCCUGCCUGGUGAGGUGAUGUGACCUGUGGUGAUUGGUUGAGGCGUGGUUGUGGCAUGAGUGCAUAAAAACGCUUGUACCCCAAGGCUCGGGGGAGUUGAAGAGAGAAGCUGCCUGAAUAAACUGCAUUAAGAAGAACUGGUGGUUGCGUUUUCCUUGCUGGUCAAGGUGGACAUAACAAGUGGUGCUGAAACCCGGGACCCGACUCCCCCACUGAAGAGGUUCAGAGCUUUCUGAAGUCAGGGUCUGUCGACAGGGUGAGUACGGUAAGU
rnacentral:lncRNA from 1 species